rnacentral:misc_RNA from 1 species
GGGGGGGGUUGGGGUGUAUACCAUCCUUAUCGACGACAUCAGCCUGCUGAUGAGCUCCCACACGAAUUGCUUGAUUCAUGGUUGAAGACGAUCAAGAUCCUGUAUGGGUCUUGUGUUGUUCCUGGUCAGAACUUGGAAAUGAGCAUUCGUUUCGAAUGUUGAUUUCUGGCUUUUGUCAGAUCGUUCUUUAAAAAUUCGGAUAUGUGAUAGAUAUAGACUGAUGGCCAGUUUCACUGCUGGUUAAUCAGGCUAAGGUAAAAUUUGUGAGUUCUGCUCGAAAGAGCAACAUGCGAAUUUUCGGCGAAUGUCGUCUUCACAGUAUAACCAGAUUGCUUGGGGUAUAUAAUGGUCAUUAUGACUUUUGUCAGAUCGUUCUUUAAAAAUUCGGAUAUGUGAUAGAUAUAGACUGAUGGCCAGUUUCACUGCUGGUUAAUCAGGCUAAGGUAAAAUUUGUGAGUUCUGCUCGAAAGAGCAACAUGCGAAUUUUCGGCGAAUGUCGUCUUCACAGUAUAACCAGAUUGCUUGGGGUUUAAUAUGGGUCAAAA